AGCGAACGCUGGCGGCAGGCUUAACACAUGCAAGUCGAGCGGGCGUAGCAAUACGUCAGCGGCAGACGGGUGAGUAACGCGUGGGAACAUACCUUUUGGUUCGGAACAACACAGGGAAACUUGUGCUAAUACCGGAUAAGCCCUUACGGGGAAAGAUUUAUCGCCGAAAGAUUGGCCCGCGUCUGAUUAGCUAGUUGGUGAGGUGAUGGCUCACCAAGGCGACGAUCAGUAGCUGGUCUGAGAGGAUGAUCAGCCACAUUGGGACUGAGACACGGCCCAAACUCCUACGGGAGGCAGCAGUGGGGAAUAUUGGACAAUGGGCGCAAGCCUGAUCCAGCCAUGCCGCGUGAGUGAUGAAGGCCCUAGGGUUGUAAAGCUCUUUUGUGCGGGAAGAUAAUGACGGUACCGCAAGAAUAAGCCCCGGCUAACUUCGUGCCAGCCGCCGCCGUAA
rnacentral:rRNA from 1 species